rnacentral:rRNA from 1 species
UACGUGAGGGUGCGAGCGUUUGUCCGGAAUUAUUGGGCGUAAAGAGCUCGUAGGCGGUGUGUCACGUCGGCCGUGAAAACCUGCAGCUUAACUGUGGCGUGCGGUCGAUACGGGCAUCACUGGAGUUCGGCAGGGGAGACUGGAAGUUCCUGGUGUAGCGGUGAAAUGCGCAGAUAUCAGGAGGAACACCGGUGGCGAAGGCGGGUCUCUGGGCCGAUGACUGACGCUGGAGGAGCGAAAGCGUGGGGAGCGAACAGG